rnacentral:rRNA from 1 species
CAGCAGCCGCGGUAAUACGAAGGGGGCUAGCGUUGUUCGGAUUUACUGGGCGUAAAGGGCGCGUAGGCGGGCGAAUAAGUCAGGGGUGAAAUCCCAAGGCUCAACCUUGGAACUGCCUUUGAUACUGUUUGUCUUGAGUUCGAGAGAGGUAAGUGGAACUGCGAGUGUAGAGGUGAAAUUCGUAGAUAUUCGCAAGAACACCAGUGGCGAAGGCGGCUUACUGGCUCGAAACUGACGCUGAGGCGCGAAAGCGUGGGGAGCAAACAGGAUUAGAUACCCCAGUAGUCCCUGUCUCUUAUAC